GAGGGUAUAAUUCAGUGGUAAGGUGUGUGCUUGGCAGGCAGGAGAUCCUGGGUUCAAUCCCCAGUACCUUCA
rnacentral:tRNA from 1 species